UACGUAGGUGGCAAGCGUUGUCCGGAUUUACUGGGCGUAAAGAGCGCGCAGGCGGUCGUUCAAGUCGCGUGUGAAAGCCCCCGGCUCAACUGGGGAGGGUCACGCGAUACUGAUCGACUCGAAGGCAGAAGAGGGAAGCGGAAUUCCCGGUGUAGUGGUGAAAUGCGUAGAUAUCAAGAGGAACACCUGCGGCGAAGGCGGGUUGCUGGGCCGACACUGACGCUGAGGCGCGAAAGCUAGGGGAGCGAACGGG
rnacentral:rRNA from 1 species